CCCAUCAGCCAUGAUUAAAUGGCGGAGUGGACUCGAUGGGCCGAAUGGCCUUACUUCCACUCUUAUGUCUUAUGCAGUAUCACUGCAUAAUGAUGAGGUUGAAUUUCUCGGCAGAGAUCUUUUAAUUGUCCAUUGAGAAGUUGCGUGCAGCCUUGCUUCAUUACUGAUUGUACACUCCUGGCCAAAGUUUCUUGAUGAUUUAGUUGUGGAUGUUAUUGAAGCCUUGCUUCAAUUAACUUUGUUUUCUGGCAUUUGGCUUGCAUUUUAUCGACAGUGUUCUCAGGCAUUUCCUGGUUUCUAAAAGAUAACUUGUGUUUUGUUUCAGCUGCAUUUGCCUUCAUUGUUUUGAAAGAUACCUGCUCCAUUUCUGAACUGGUCAUUAAAGAUCUGAAAACAAAUGUUGCAUCUAAGAUUGCUAAAUAUGCUAUUCCUGAUCACAUUCUGGUUGUGAAGCGACUUCCCAAAACCCGAUCUGGGAAAAUCAUGAGGCGGGUGUUGAAGAAAAUAGCCACUGAUGAUACUUCUAAUCUGGGUGACCUCAGCACACUAGACGACCCUCAAAUCAUCUCAGAGAUCAUUGCAGCCUAUACAAAGUAUAAAAAAGACCACAUGACCAGAAAAUAAACAAGCAGUCAGCGUUCCUUAAAUCAUCCCAAAGUUUUGACACUCAUAGAACCAACUGGUUGUAUAUUCUUAAAACGAUACUUUUUCUGUAUUGCACUUAAAAAAACCGAACAAUGCUGACUUUAAUUAACAUUAAUUCUGAAUUGGUGCUAAAAGAAGAAAUGAUUCCUCCUUGUCCCUAAUUUCCCCCUUGACCCUUCUCAUGGAGACAAUCACAAUUACAUUGGUCUAAGUGCCUGUAGUGUCCCAAAAUCUGAUCAACAGUAUUCAGUCCAUUUCUACAGUUGAGGUGGCUGAUCUGCCAAGUCUAUUUCUCACUCUGAAAUGGCUAUCUGUAUUAGCACAUUCCAUCAUAUGUUGUUACGAGAAAAUGAUUGGGAAGCCUGACUGAUGUUAAAAAAUUCCCCUCAUAACACAUGGUAUUAUUCUACUGUGAGGCUUGUGUCAUUCUCCUGCUAAAGGACUGAUAGGGAAUCAGAAUUGAGAUUUACUUGUCCUUGUCUACUUUACUGUCAAAUAUGGCAUAAAUUGUUAAAAAAAUGAAUUGAAUUAAUUCAUAGAAUCAGUGUGAAUAAACUUCUGACUUGCUUUUAAAAUGAAAGUAAACAGACUUUAGACAUAUACAACAAAGAAUAACCGCAAUAGCAGAGAUUUUUUUGUAUUUGUGCUCUUUUAUGCUUGAAGUUUUCUGCUUAUUAUAGGCUGGCAAAUGCAGAACUGGCCAAUAUGAAACAAUAUGUAUUUGACCAAGGUUUGUUUGAACAAGUGUCUUGAUCAUCCAGGACAUCUAGAACUCUGUUGUUUGUGUCUAAACACGCAGAAAGUCCCAUAAUUCAUUUACCAUCUCUGUACUUGCUGACCUACACUAACUGUCUUAAUUGUAAAAUUUCAAUCCUGGUUUUCAAAUUCCAUCCUGAUACUGCUCCUCCCUAUCUCAGUAAUCUCCCGCAGCUCCAAAACUCUGAGAUAUAUUUAUUCAGGGCAUUCUCAGGAUUAUUCGGGUCUGAUUUUCCCCCAUUUCUUGCUGCCUGGACUUAACAGCAGAACCACAACACAGCAGAUUGCAAUACGAUGUAAAUACAUGCAUGUUCUAACCCAGUUAAACCAGGCGAUGAAAACAGCAAAAUAAAACAAAGAACUGCACAUGCCGAAAAUCUGAAACAAAAAUCAAAAAUGCUGGAGAAACUCAGCAGGUCUGGCAGCAUCUGUGGACAGAAAACAGAGUUAAUGUUCUUUAGAACAGAACAUGGAAUAGCAGUUUCUGAUGUGUAGGGAAAAUUAUUCACUAGAAGACAAAUGUUUUUGAACACAGCCCCCCAAAUGCAUAUGUUUAGUGAGAGCUUUAUUUCAGUCAACCAUUUGCCAUUAAAUCCACAGUAGACAUACAAGAGGCUGGAAGAGCACAGCAAACCAAGCAACAUCAGGAGGUGGAGAAUUCAACAUUUCAGGUAUAACCCUUCUUCAGGACUAAAUGUGCGGGGAAGAGGGAGCUACAGCCAAAAACAAGCUCCCCUUGUUCACACAACCAACUGACACCCAAUUAAAUCUUAAUUAGUAAUUAAGAGUUAAUUAAUCUGUUCCCUCAUUCAAUUGCAUCUUUGGUAUCCUUCAAAACACAUAAGGCUAAAAUUAUAUUUUUCUUCUUAAAUAAAUCUAUAUAAUUUUUAAAAGACCUAACAAAAUAUACAAAAAGACAGCAUAUUACAUUCUCUUCUGUUUCUCUGUGCAUUAAAAGCUCCAUUGUCCUUUUCCAGCAUGUUAAAUAGUUUCUUAGUGCCUUUCUUUGUAAAACAAUCGAUCGGAUAGCUGAUUGCUGCUAUCCACCCAUUUCAAUUUAGAAAUUUCUCCAUUCUCCAGCAUGUUUUAAAACUGCAAUAUUGAUCUUUAGACAUUUUUCAUUUACACAUUUCAUUGAAUGUACAUUAUCCCAGUGACUUAUCAAUGUAGCUCUCAGUGGUAUUGCUAUUCAUUUACUUGAAUUUUUUCAAUAUUGUUGAAAAUAAAACUGUCAUCUUUCAGCUCAUCAAGAGCAAGAGUUCCUGCCACUAAAAGUACAUGUACACUUUACUACUCUUUUGAACUUUUUAGCUUCCCCAGCUAAAGGACAACAUUUAUCUCAAUUUUCUAUGAGAAAAUUAUAAAGCCUUCUGCACUUGAGAACCCAUCUCUGAGAGUUUCAUAACAAACAUCACUACAAAUAAGUGUCAUGUUCCUGGCUUCUCCCAAUGAUACAAAUUUCGAAACACAAUUAUCCAUUUUUAAUUUUUUUUCAAUGUUUUGUUUGCCUGAAUAAUAUGUUCCAUCUUGCGAUUUCUUAAGUUGUACUUAACACUAAUACUUCAAAACUGGCAGCUGGUCUUGUUUGGUUGCCCAGUCAAUUUAGCUGUUAAAAUAAACUUCACAAUUCCUUUA